UACAGAGGGUGCGAGCGUUAAUCGGAAUUACUGGGCGUAAAGCGUGCGUAGACGGUUCUGUAAGUCGGAUGUGAAAUCCCCGGGCUCAACCUGGGAAUUGCGCUUGAUACUGGGGGGCUGGAGUUCGGGAGAGGAGAGUGGAAUUCCUGGUGUAGCGGUGGAAUGCGCAGAUAUCAGGAGGAACACCGAUGGCGAAGGCAGGUCUCUGGGCCACUACUGACGCUGAGAAGCGAAAGCAUGGGGAGCGAACAGG
rnacentral:rRNA from 1 species